rnacentral:rRNA from 1 species
GAUGAACGCUGGCGGCGUGCCUAAUACAUGCAAGUCGAGCGAACGGACGAGAAGCUUGCUUCUCUGAUGUUAGCGGCGGACGGGUGAGUAACACGUGGAUAACCUACCUAUAAGACUGGGAUAACUUCGGGAAACCGGAGCUAAUACCGGAUAAUAUUUUGAACCGCAUGGGUCAAAAGUGAAAGACGGUCUUGCUGUCACGUAUAGAUGGAUCCGCGCUGCAUUAGCUAGUUGUUCAGGUAAAGGCUUACCAAGGCAACGAUGCAUAGCCGACCUGUGGGGGUGGUCGGCCACACGGGAACUGAGACGCGGUCCAGACUCCUACGGGAGGCCGCAGUAGCGAAUCUUCCGCAAUGGGCGAGAGCCUGACGGAGCAGCGCCGCGUGAGUGAUGACAAUCUUGGGAUCGUAAAACUCUGUUACUAGUUGAGAACAUAUGUGUCAGUAACUGAGCCCAUCUUGACGGUACCUAGUCAGAAAGCCCCGGCUAACUACGUG